UUUUCGGUAACGUCACUCAAAUUCCAAACCAUCCGAAUAACCGAAUAAUCCGAUCCCAUCAGAUCAGAUGAGCAGUCGAAAACGAACCGACUUCAACCUUCGCCGUCGGAGCUCCGAUUCCAGGGAAGGAAUCACCGCCAUUAAGAUUAUCGAACUUGGAUUCUUAUGGUUUCUCUUCUCACCGCCGGUAGUAAGUAACAAGCCUCCAAUUACAAUGCAACAAUUGGAUUGGCAAUGAUAUCUUCAACAUACAGUAGUCCUUACAUCUCUGAAAGCGAGAUUGCCAGAGUGGUCAUAAAACGAAAGCCAGCCAGGCCAGUCUCGGGUCGGGUCGGGUCCUCCCUCAUUCACAACCUUUCGACUGCUUGCUUCUUCGGUUCUUUCUGACUCGCGGUUAUAAAAUUCAUUCCGUUCGAAAAGCUUGCAAUCGAAUUGGACAAAUUAGGGUUUCUGAUUGAAGUUGAACAACGAAACUGAAUCGAUCGAGCUCGAGAACGGUACUGUUGUCCAUGGCUACCAUCACUGGUGUUGAUGUGAGCUUGUUAAUCUGACUCUGAAGGGGAAGAACACUGUGACUCUCCAUCAUCUAACCUUUGUUGGUUACUACUAUCUCUUAAGGGAUUGCACGGGUGAGGAAAAGCAGAAGGCACACCGUAUCCCUGGGGAUAGGAGGAAGGCACACCGUAUCCCUGAGGCCAUGGAUAACACGGCACAGGUGUUGGCACUGGAGGUGGUUUCUUAUCAUCUUGCCCUUUCUUGUCAUCUGUUCCUUUCUUGUCAUCUGUCCCUUUCUUAUCAUCUGUCCCUUUCUUCUCGCCACCUUUUUUGUCACCGUCUUUUCCCCCUGCUGCAU